CUGCCUGGUAGUGGGGGACGAACGUUUCGAAAGGAACGCUAAUACCGCAUACGUCCUACGGAGAAGCAGGGACCUUCGGGCCUUGCGCUAUCAGAUGAGCCUAGGUCGGAUUAGCUAGUUGGUGAGGUAAUGGCUCACCAAGGCGACGAUCCGUAACUGGUCUGAGAGGAUGAUCAGUCACACUGGAACUGAGACACGGUCCAGACUCCUACGGGAGGCAGCAGUG
rnacentral:rRNA from 1 species